AUUUUUUUUUCUACUCCAAAUUUUGACCUUAAUGUACUUUUUCGGGCCUUUUAAUGAUCUUUGCUAUAGUACGGGGCGAAAAUUAUAUGUUCGGACAUUGUUUUCGAAUAUUUUGCAUGUAUCAAAGCUCUUAUUAACAAGAUAGGGUGUUCCUACAUAGCUAAUGGGACCCACGGCAAAUGGAUCAUAAAGUCUUCAAAAAAGAAUAGAUAUAAUUGCAUUGCAUGUAGUAACAGCUACGAUCAUACCAGCACUAAUGAACUGGAUCCCAUCAGAACUCUACAGUUAAGCGUGCUUGGGCGAGAGUUGUACUAGGAUGAGUGAGCUCCAGGAAAGUCCUCGUGUUGCAUCCCUCUUUUUUUCGGUUUUUCUCUUUUUUUAUGUUAAAAAUAAAUGACUCUAUAACUUUUGGACCGUGAGGCCAAACUUGGCAUGUGAUACCUUUUUGGAAAGCCCAAAGAGAGCUCUCCAAUUAAUGAGGAAGGAAAAUGAAAUUCUUCUAUUGUUUUUUUUUUCUACGCCAAAUUUUGACCUUAAUGUAAUUUUUUGGGCCUUUUCGUGUUUUUUGCUUUAUUACGGGGCAAAAAUUAUAUGUUCGGCCAUUGUUUUCGAAUAUUUUACAUGUAUCAAAGCUCUUAUAAACAAGAUAGGGUAUUCCUACAUAUCUGGUGGGACCCACAG
rnacentral:sRNA from 1 species